rnacentral:rRNA from 1 species
AGAGUUUGAUCAUGGCUCAGAUUGAACGCUGGCGGCAGGCCUAACACAUGCAAGUCGAGCGGUAGCACAGAGAGCUUGCUCUCGGGUGACGAGCGGCGGACGGGUGAGUAAUGUCUGGGAAACUGCCUGAUGGAGGGGGAUAACUACUGCAAACGGUAGCUAAUACCGCAUAAUGUCGCAAGACCAAAGUGGGGGACCUUCGGGCCUCAUGCCAUCAGAUGUGCCCAGAUGGGAUUAGCUAGUAGGUGGGGUAACGGCUCACCUAGGCGACGAUCCCUAGCUGGUCUGAGAGGAUGACCAGCCACACUGGAACUGAGACACGGUCCAGACUCCUACGGGAGGCAGCAGUGGGGAAUAUUGCACAAUGGGCGCAAGCCUGAUGCAGCCAUGCCGCGUGUGUGAAGAAGGCCUUCGGGUUGUAAAGCACUUUCAGCGGGGAGGAAGGCGUUAAGGUUAAUAACCUUGGCGAUUGACGUUACCCGCAGAAGAAGCACCGGCUAACUCCGUGCCAGCAGCCGCGGUAAUACGGAGGGUGCAAGCGUUAAUCGGAAUUACUGGGCGUAAAGCGCACGCAGGCGGUCUGUCAAGUCGGAUGUGAAAUCCCCGGGCUCAACCUGGGAACUGCAUUCGAAACUGGCAGGCUAGAGUCUUGUAGAGGGGGUAGAAUUCCAGGUGUAGCGGUGAAAUGCGUAGAGAUCUGGAGGAAUACCGGUGGCGAAGGCGGCCCCCUGGACAAAGACUGACGCUCAGGUGCGAAAGCGUGGGGAGCAAACAGGAUUAGAUACCCUGGUAGUCCACGCCGUAAACGAUGUCGAUUUGGAGGUUGUGCCCUUGAGGCGUGGCUUCCGGAGCUAACGCGUUAAAUCGACCGCCUGGGGAGUACGGCCGCAAGGUUAAAACUCAAAUGAAUUGACGGGGGCCCGCACAAGCGGUGGAGCAUGUGGUUUAAUUCGAUGCAACGCGAAGAACCUUACCUGGUCUUGACAUCCACAGAACUUUCCAGAGAUGGAUUGGUGCCUUCGGGAACUGUGAGACAGGUGCUGCAUGGCUGUCGUCAGCUCGUGUUGUGAAAUGUUGGGUUAAGUCCCGCAACGAGCGCAACCCUUAUCCUUUGUUGCCAGCGGUUAGGCCGGGAACUCAAAGGAGACUGCCAGUGAUAAACUGGAGGAAGGUGGGGAUGACGUCAAGUCAUCAUGGCCCUUACGACCAGGGCUACACACGUGCUACAAUGGCAUAUACAAAGAGAAGCGACCUCGCGAGAGCAAGCGGACCUCAUAAAGUAUGUCGUAGUCCGGAUUGGAGUCUGCAACUCGACUCCAUGAAGUCGGAAUCGCUAGUAAUCGUAGAUCAGAAUGCUACGGUGAAUACGUUCCCGGGCCUUGUACACACCGCCCGUCACACCAUGGGAGUGGGUUGCAAAAGAAGUAGGUAGCUUAACCUUCGGGAGGGCGCUUACCACUUUGUGAUUCAUGACUGGGGUGAAGUCGUAACAAGGUAACCGUAGGGGAACCUGCGGUUGGAUCACCU